GACGAACGCUGGCGGCGUGCUUAACACAUGCAAGUCGAACGAAGUGGCGAACGGGUGAGUAACGCGUAAUCAACCUGCCCUUCAGAGGGGGACAACAGUUGGAAACGAUUGCUAAUACCGCAUACUGAAGGCGGGGAUUGCGUCUGAUUAGCUAGUUGGAGGGGUAACGGCCCACCAAGGCGAUGAUCAGUAGCCGGUCUGAGAGGGUGGACGGCCCCAUUGGGACUUGAACACGGCCCCGACUUCUACGGGAGGCAGCCGGUGGGAAUCUUCCGCAAUGGACGAAAGUCUGACGGCGCAACGCCGCGUGGUGGAGGACGGCCUUCGGGUUGUAAAGCUCUGUUAAUCGGGACGCGUUACCGGAAUAGAAAGCCACGGCUAACUACGUGCCAGCAGCCGCGGUAAUAC
rnacentral:rRNA from 1 species